UUGUGGAGCAUAAGGACG
rnacentral:snRNA from 1 species